rnacentral:rRNA from 1 species
GAUUUCUGACAAAGCGGGGCGGCCCGUGCUCUUAAUGGGUGCUGUGUGCCGUGUCGUGUUUGUCAUCCUUCCAGAGAGCUACGUCUACCAUUCAUUUGGCCGGACGUACGCGAUCUGGAUCGAUUACUUUGAAAAAAUUAGAGUGUUUAAAGCAGGCUUAUGCUGUGAAUACAUUAGCAUGGAAUAAUAAUUUAGGACUUUGUUUCUAUUUUGUUGGUUUCUAGAGGCGAAGUAAUGAUUGAUAGGGAUAGUUGGGGGUGCUAGUAUUCAGCGGCCAGAGGUGAAAUUCUUGGAUUCGCUGAAGACUAACUUAUGCGAAAGCAUU